ACUGAUUGCCAGACGCUUCCGGGUAAUCGCGCUGUGUAUUGCUGAAGGUCCUGGGCAAAGCACACGCCGGGUAGCUUUACCACAAUUUACUAGCAUCAAGAAGGUCUGGGGCAAAGUACCCGCCGUGUAGCUGUAACGUUACUGCCAGACGCUUCCGGGUAAUCGCGCUGUGUGCUUUUGAAGGUCCUAGAAGGUAAAAAGUUUGUUUAUUGUGUUAUGAGUAGAUCCAGUGUGUUAGGACUAAAAGCUUUUGAACACAUGUACAAUGAGUCUGAUUGUGUUGCCCUGACAUAUUGUAUGACUGUUUUAUUGUCAACUCUUAAUAUAAAUGCAUUUAAUGAAUAUGCUGUGUGUAGGGUUGUGAAGACCAGCGCAAAGGCCUGUUUUUCCACCGUGUCAGUUCAUAUGUCAACAUUGAGGCAGAUUGCUCCUGCUGCUUUGCCUUGCCUGAAUUAAGUUUUAUAUAUUUAUUUUCUUUAUUGUUUAUUUUGCCGUAGCCUCCGUCUACUGCUCUGUCUGACUGAUGUGGUAUUGGCUGUGCUAGUAGUGUAUAGCGUUACAUUUCUCUAUCCAUUUUUCUAGUGAUAACUUACUUGUUCUUUUCCUUGUCUUUCCAGAGUAUUAGCGUAGCUGCUCACAAGAGAGGUUCCUGGUUCCGUCCCCACACCCUGCACCACGUAUUGUAGUGGUAAAUUGCACUUCACAAUCUUGUUUGAAUCAUCGGCUUGUGGUGGUGUGUGUGUGCGUGUGUGUGGAUGCAUGGGAUCGUGGGCUCCAGGUUCCAGAGCACGGGUGGUGAACGUCACGCGUAUCUCGGACAGGUAACCUGCCUUGCCAGCGAAUCAGUAUUUUCUAGUUUAAUUGGUAAUCAUACAUUGUCCCCUGUAACAGCUAAUGCCAGGUCUAGUCUCUAUUAGUAAUGUGUCUCUAGGAUGACGGUGUGGCUCUUUUAAUGAUACCAUUGUAUAAUAAAGUUUUGUUACUGUUUUUCUACUGAGAA